CAGGAUGAGCCGACAGGACGUCGGCGAAAGGCGCCGCUGAGCAGGAGCGAAUCGGCGCCGGUCCGUCAGGAAGCGUGAA
rfam:Pantoea wallisii strain LMG 26277 Contig0139_, whole genome shotgun sequence.